ACUCAACAAGUAAGCGUAUAUUUAGCAACUGCACCAUUCUCUUUAGCACUUCACUUCACCAGUUGAAGACCACCUUAUCUGAAUUGUGAAAUGGAGAGGAAGUGACUGAAAAAUCGUGUGAGACAAAUCACAAAAAAACAGCAGGCAAUUACAAGAGACAUCUAGCAACAGCUAUGUCCUUAACUUCAAACCAUCUGCUGAACAUGUAGAUACCCUUGGAAAUUGCAAGUGUAAGAAUGAAGUGUUCUAAACCUUGGAGUGGAAGCCUUCAGCUGGGAGUCAUUCCAAUGGUCUGCAGAGAGAUGGUCAACAUCAGAACCAGAGUAAUAGCAGUGAAGAUGUAAAGGAGAAUAUGAAUGAAAAAAUGUGCACCAGAUUGAAAUCUUAGGACUGACUUCAAAAAUUCUCUUCUAUUGGAAAAAUGGAGAGGAAGAGGAAAGGGUCUAUGAUGACACACAAGUUUCUGACUUGGCAACCUGAAUAGUGUUCAGAAGUGUAAGUAAAGGGGAGAUGGAAGAAUAUCGGUAUUUUAUUCUGAUAUAUGUAAAAAUACUUUUAAUCAACUGAUUUUUGGACAUAACUGAGCCAAUUUUUCCAACAAAACUGGCUAUGCAAAAGAACCCCAAAUUACGGUGUUUCGAAUGGCUAAAGAAUGUGCUGAGAUGUUGAUUCCCUGGGCCAUCAAGCUGGUGCAUCCUCAGUGUGAUUGCCAAUAUGAAGACUCAGAGACAUUUUUAAGCCCAAUAGGUAACGAAAGGAUACAAAUAACGAUGAUGAUAAUGAUGCUAAAAACGACCUCACACAUGAACAACAUUGCCAACUUCUGCCACUCUGAUUAGAGCCUUGAUGGAAGACCCAGACGGAUGGGAGGAACUUGAAAAGGCUACCCCUGUGCUGACUGCGGAGUAGUGAGGAAGGAAUAGCUAGGAUCCCGUGAUCAACCUAAGACGUCUUCAAAGCAUACUAACCUUUAACUUUAAAAAUCAAAGUUUGUAUGUAUAUAUAGUCAUAAGAUGCAGU
ensembl:lincRNA